GAUACCCCACACGUAUGGGUUUGAUGAAAAAAAAAUUUUUGAGGGAUUUAUAACGUAUUAAAAAAACUACUUACUAGAUCUUGUUCAAACCAAUUUUCGGUGGAAGUUUGCAUGGUAAUGUACAUCAUAUAUUUUUUUUAGUUUUAUCAUUCUUUUAUUUUAGAAGUUACAGGGGACACACAUUUUACCACUUUGGAAGUGUCUCUCGCGCAAACUAUUCAGUUUAGAAAAAAAUGAUAUUAGAAACAUCAAUAUGAUUUUUGAAGACCUAUCCAUAGAUACCCCACACGUACACGUAUG